GCAAGUCGAACGAACCUUCGGGUUAGUGGCGGACGGGUGAGUAACGCGUGAGAAUCUGCCCUCAGGAGGGGGAUAACGGCUGGAAACGGCCGCUAAUACCCCAUAUGCCGCGAGGUGAAAUGAAUUUCGCCUGAGGAUGAGCUCGCGUCUGAUUAGCUAGUUGGUGGGGUAAAGGCCUACCAAGGCAUCGAUCAGUAGCUGGUCUGAGAGGAUGAUCAGCCACACUGGGACUGAGACACGGCCCAGACUCCUACGGGAGGCAGCAGUGGGGAAUUUUCCGCAAUGGGCGAAAGCCUGACGGAGCAACGCCGCGUGAGGGAUGAAGGCCUCUGGGCUGUAAACCUCUUUUAUCAAGGAAGAAGAUCUGACGGUACUUGAUGAAUAAGCCACGGCUAAUUCCGUGCCAGCAGCCGCGGUAAUACGGGAGUGGCAAGCGUUAUCCGGAAUUAUUGGGCGUAAAGCGUCCGCAGGCGGCCCUUCAAGUCUGCUGUUAAAACGUGGAGCUUAACUCCAUCAUGGCAGUGGAAACUGUUUGGGCUUGAGUGUGG
rnacentral:rRNA from 1 species